AAAAAAAAAAACACGUUGAUAACCUACCUAUAAGACUGGGAUCACUUCGGGAAACCGGAGCUAAUACACGAUAAUAUUUUGAACCGCAUGGUUCAAACGUUAAAGACCUUCUUUCUGUCCCUUAUCGAUGGAUCCGAGCUGCAUUAGCUAGUUGGUAAGGUAACGGCUUACCAAGGCAACGAUGCAUAGCCGACCUGAGAGGAUGAUCAGCCACACUGGAACUGAGAAACGGUCCAGACUCCUACGGGAGGCAGCAGUAGGGAAUCUUCGGCAAUGGGCGAAAGCCUGACGGAGCAAUGCCGCGUGAGUGAUGAAGGUCUUCGUAUUGUAAAAUGCUGCGACGACCGCCGAAAUCAACACAAGGAG
rnacentral:rRNA from 1 species